UGAGAAACCAACACCCAAGCAUAUGAGAUGCGCCAUAUUUCAGCACCAACCCCAUGUUGUGGAAAGCCUUUUUCAACGGUUACCAAUUUGUUUGUUUUCCUAACAAAUGUGUUGAUAGCAGCUCUAUCCGGUGGUCUAAUUGACUGAUGGUUGAUCACAUGUUAACAAAUAUUAGAGGAUAAUAAGAACAUACUAAUGGAUGUAGUCAAAAAACGUAACAUAAUUGUACUACAUAAUGUGUUUUGCAAAAGGUACCUCAGCACUGAUUCCCUCCUUGGAAAGUAUAUCUGCAGCCUGAAAAUUGACUGAGCAUAAUGUAACCAGAACAGUAGAUCAAGAAUUUUAUGUACAAUGUGAAAUGAUCAUCGAUGCUAAUUAAACAAAUGCAUUCACAUCUCAAACACAACUGAUUUCUUAAAAACUUUGUCCCGUUCAAUCAAUGGCUCCAAAAUGAGAUCUCUUAAGCACUGCAGAACAACAAGGAAAUUUCAUCUCUUUUUUUCUUGCUUUAUAAGAAUGUAGUAAUCAUGAGGGUUCUUGACCACAGCCACUGAUGACGAAGACAAUUAUUUUGUGUCAGUCAUCUAGUAACAAAAAUGAAAGAGGCAUAUGAGAAAUAUGCAUAGAUUGAUAGAUAAGCAGAAUACGUAGUCAUUAAAAAAAGAAAGCAAAUGAACGGGAUUGAUCCUUCUUGAUUCUAAAAAAGCGACAACUCCCUCGCGUCGUCUCUCCGAGGCGACCCGGGGGCCCCAAAUCCCUCCACCGCCGGCCGGCAAUCUGCUUCUCCCCUGCCGCCGCUGCCGCCGGCCCUUGCCGCGGUGGCGGCGGGCCCCGUUCCUCGAAGGGGAGGGGGACCUCCGGCCGAUGCGUGGGGCGCGGCGGCGGAUCUUGGGCCCCGGGGCGGCGGCCUCGGUCUUGGCGACGACGGCUGCUGCGGCUGCUUGGGCGGCGCGGUGGUUGGGCCUGGGCGCGGUGCUGCUGCGGCCAUGCUGGGUGCUCGCGGUGGAGGAAGCUCGGUCCUCCUGCUGCACGACGUUCUUCGGCGCGACGACUCCGGCGACUUCGCGGCCUUGCGUCGCCGAGGUCCUUCUCCAGCUGGCCUAGGCGGGGUGGCAGCCCCCUGGUCUGCCUGUGCGAGCUCGUCCCCGUGGCCGGCUUGUCGAUGGUGUUGCCGGCUCGUCGGAUCGGCUUCGGCGGGAUCUGGCCGGCUGUGGUCGGUUUUGGUUUUCUGCGUCCGUGAGUUCUGCCACGACUGGGAGCUCUGUUCUCCGGUGUGCGGUGCCCGUGCAGUGGUGGUGGGUGCCAGAUGUUGGAUCUGGCUCAUCUGUUUUGGCAGACGGACGACGAGGGAGGAGGUGGCUCUGGCGCGGCGGUGGCGUGUUCGCGGCGUCGGAGGUGUGCGGGCCAGCGGAGUGCUCUGCGUGGGACUGUUGUUCGUGCUGCUCCAGGUGAAAGCCUAGCCGAUGCUCGCAGGCCGGCGGCGGCGGCGCCUGUGGGCGUCGCUUUCCUCCUUGGAGGCGCCGUCGAGGAGUUUCUGCACUUUCUCAGCUCUCGGGUUAAGAUCUACGGGCGAAAGUCAUGAUCCUGUUCAAUCGGGCGGCGGCGGCAUCUUCAAUGUCGUUUUCCCUCUUUGGGGCGUCGUCUUGGAGAUCUUGGCCCCUUUUGUGCUUCCUGCAGGCUGGACGUGCGCGGCAUCACGGUUGGCCGGUGUGCAACUGGUGAUGCGUGUGGUUGGCGUUGCGACUCGUGUGAUGACGACGAUGAUGGCGUGCGAAGCUGGGUCACGGCUUGCCCUUCUGAUGUCGACGGUCCGGUGCGCCAAUGGGUGUGCCUAUGCUGGCUUCUGGCUGUGACAGAGAAGUCGAAGUUGCGUGCGAUGCCUCUGCGGCAACGAUGACUCCAUGAGGGCGGUUUUCAGCGGGCGGUGCUCUCCGGAUGAUGCGCUGGACUAGGUCGGCGCGAGGCUUGCAACUUUCUCCUGUGAAGCAUUUCAGCAAAAUCGGAGCUGCCAUGUCCUCGACGCUUCGGUCGACCGUUUGGCUUGUCUGUGGCCAGGUCGGCUGUGUGUGCCCCGUGUGGGGUUGUAUCUGGGUUUUCGCCCGGUUUUCCUCUAAUUAACCGGACAAAUCUCUUCUUCUUAAUCAAUGAAAAUGGCAAAUCUUUUGCCUCGUUUCAAAAAAAAAGCAAGAUUCUAAGGAGACUGAGUGUAGGAUAAGUGAUAAAAAUGAAAUAAAAGCAGUGGAGAAAUAUGCAUAGAAUGGAGUAUGUGUUUCUAUAUACAUACAAGGAUAAAUAAAAUGCAUGAUAGCAUUAUCUUCUUCUGAAUUUUCUUAUCAGUCAUGUCAGUUUCAACAUCUAGUCCCAUCUUAUGUAUCUUAGCAUGAACCUGGGCAUCAAAAGCAGAUUGUCAUUUAACUCGGAAGAAAAAGAACCCGGCUGAUUGAUUACCAUGAGAAACAGCUAAAACUACUAACAAACUGCUAGACAUAACGAAUGGAAAAACGGUCACUGACAAGUUUCAAACUAACACACAAGGGUCAGUUAACUAUUUCCACUCUUAUGGGCGAUCCGAGCUAAACGAGGGCAGGGACGGGGGAUUAAAACAGGACGACUGCCCAGAUUGGAUGUCACCUUCUCCUCGCACUUGGCGUCGGCACUUGGAGCCGGGGUGGAGGUCGAUGUACAUCAGGAGAUCCAGAAGAGGAAGGUCAAUCAUGGCAGCUGCCUGAUGCAAAUA
rnacentral:rRNA from 1 species